rnacentral:lncRNA from 1 species
UGCGCAUCCAUAGUUAUGCCCCUACAUAUUCCUUCCGUCUCAAUUUACAUUGCAUGAUUGAAAUUUCGAUAUUCAAAUUUUGAAUUUGAACGUAAAAACUUAAAGUCUUGGAAAUAAAAUAUGAAACUUCAAUCAAAUAAAAAUUUAGUUAACUCUCAAAAUUUCGAUAAAACAGAUAAUUUGAGACGAAUGGAGAAUAUAUUAAGACUGUUGUACCCUUUGACUGUGUUGCACUCCUUUCAUCUCAAGUCGUUUUCCGCGGCAGAGUAGUACACACGCGAUCUGUGUGUGUUUGUCGACGACUGCCAUCUCUUGAUUGGAGUUUGCCAAUAAUAGAUCGACAAUCUCCACAUCAUGUAGAUCUCCCUUCUCACCUUCUGCUUUAGUUACCACUCUUUCUUUUUGUCAUUUUCUUCUGGGAAUAUGAUUCCUUCUUACUUCUUACCUUCCCUCCCUUUGAUAACCUUUUCUUUCAAAAUACUAUGUACAAACUAGAUUUUUUUUUGUUUGAGGAUUUUGGACCAGCUCAAUUUUAUUUUCUAUCUGUCCAAC